rnacentral:rRNA from 1 species
AUGUGGAAGGAUGGCCAGGGAGCAGACGUGACAUUCAGUGUGGGCGGCCAAUUGUUCAAAGCUCACAGAUGCUUAUUGGCUGCAUGGUCUCUGGUUUUCAAGGCGGAGCUCUUGGGUCCGAUGAAGGAGAAGGAAACACACUGCAUCAAAAUUGAUGACAUCGACACUCAAAUCUUUGAGGCUCUUCUUCACUUCAUAUACACAGAUUCCCUGAUAGUCGAUGAGCACCAGAAAGAAGGUGAAAUUGCAAAACUGCAGCAUCUGCUAGUUGCCACGGAUCGAUAUGGUUUGGAUAGGUUAAAUGUGAUGUGUGAAAGUAAAUUGUCUGAGUGCAUUGACGUGGAGACUGUUGCAACAACAUUGGUUUUAGCAGAGCAACACCACUGCAAGGAUCUCAAAGAAGCCUGCGUUGAGUUUAUGGCCCCACGGAAUGUUCUACAAGCUGUCAUGGCAAGCGAUGGUUUCAAACAUUUGGUAGCAAGCUGUCCUUUGGUCAUGAAGGAGUUACUGGACAUGGUGUCCCGUGGUGGCUAG